AAAAAAUGCUAGUAAUGUGAAAAUGGGAAGUUGCCAAAGUAAUGGUUUGAAUUGCAGGGAAACAAAAGAGUAGUUUCCUUCCUCUUCUUCCUCUGCUACUCUUCUUUUUUAUCCAAAUUUCCGAACCCUAAAUUGUUUUUUAAUUAACUGGGAACGAAAAGGCGGAAAUUCGUAACAAGACCAUCAACGUUAACACAAACAACCAAAAACCCUAACAAAGCUCCAGCCAUUCCUUCAUGGGCAAAAGACGAGGACGCAAACCCAAAAACCCCACCCCCACCACCGCUACCACCACCAACAUCGCUCAUUCCCUAGAUCCCACCACGGCAAAUACCACCGAUGACGACGUUUUCUCCGUCAACAACGUUGAAAUCAUCAAUCCUACUACCCCUAUCCCCACCAGCAACAAUCACCACCACCAUGUUAGCCAGCGCCGCCGCGGUCGUCCUAAGAAGCGCCCCAAACACUCCCUGGAAAAGCCCGAGAAGCCCCCGCCACCAGUGAUCAAUGGAGAGGCGGGGCCCGGUCUGCCUGUGGAGAGUGUGGCGAGGGUAGUGCCCGCGAUGGAUGCUGUGGUGAAAGUGUUCUGCGUGCACACGGAGCCAAAUUUCUCACUUCCGUGGCAGAGAAAGAGGCAGUAUAGUUCGAGUAGUAGUGGUUUUGUAAUUGGAGGCAGGAGGGUUUUGACUAAUGCUCAUUCCGUGGAGCACUAUACCCAGGUUAAGCUCAAGAAACGAGGCUCUGAUACCAAGUAUUUGGCUACGGUGCUCGCUAUUGGGACUGAGUGCGAUAUUGCUCUGCUGACAGUCAAUGAUGAUGAGUUCUGGAAAGGAGUCUCACCUGUUGAAUUUGGACAAUUGCCUGCACUUCAAGAUGCCGUGACCGUUGUGGGUUACCCAAUUGGAGGAGACACAAUUUCUGUGACAAGUGGUGUUGUUUCACGAAUAGAGAUCCUGUCUUAUGUUCAUGGGUCCACUGAGCUUUUGGGUUUGCAGAUAGAUGCUGCUAUAAACUCGGGAAAUUCUGGUGGGCCUGCCUUUAAUGACAAAGGACAAUGUGUGGGCAUUGCAUUUCAGUCUCUUAAACAUGAAGACGUUGAAAAUAUAGGGUAUGUCAUACCAACACCAGUCAUCACCCAUUUUAUCCAAGAUUAUGAGAAGAAAGGAGCAUAUACAGGAUUCCCAUUUCUUGGGAUUGAAUGGCAGAAAAUGGAAAAUCCAGAUUUGCGGAUGGCUAUGGGUAUGAAGCCUGAUCAGAAGGGUGUUCGUAUCAGAAGAAUUGACCCCACUGCUCCAGAAUCUGAAGUUUUGAAGCCAUCAGACAUUAUUCUCAGUUUUGAUGGGGUAGAUAUUGCCAAUGAUGGGACAGUUCCCUUUCGGCAUGGAGAGCGCAUAGGUUUCAGCUACCUUGUCUCCCAAAAAUAUACUGGGGAUAAUGCAGCAAUUAAGGUUCUCCGCAACUCUGAGAUUCUAAACUUUGACAUCAAACUUUCACCUCAUCGAAGGCUCAUUCCACCACAUGUCAAAGGCAGACCUCCUUCAUAUUAUAUCAUUGCAGGAUUUGUGUUCUCAACGGUUUCUGUUCCUUAUCUCCGUUCUGAGGUAUGUAAGUUCACUUAACAUUUUUUUGGUGUAUGUGUUCAUGUUUGUUUAUUCUGGUGCUUUGAUUUUGGCUACAAUCUCUUUUAGUUCAUAGAAGUUAGCUUGAAGGAGGCUGAAAUACAAUCUCCUUUAGUUGAGGUUCUCUGAAGUGGAAAACAAUUCUUGUGCAAGCAGGCAAUUUUUUAUGUUGAUUAUGUCUUGUUGAGCACUGUGCUGCUGUGUAAUUUUUUUGCAAUUGUUAGUGUUAUGUACUAGAGACUAGGUCCAUGAAUUCCGUGCUUGUUACAUUGUGUUGCUUGCUUGUGAAAAUGCUCGUGGGGUUGAAGUGUGAUAACAUAAUCCUGUAUGAUCUUAUUUUUAGCAAGGGAAAUUGGAUUCCAGAUUCUUUUUGUUGCGCAGGUGACAGAAAUGCUCAAUAUAUUUGUUAUCUGCUUUCAUUUUUCCUCAAUGGAAGAUCUGAAGAUGGCAAUCUUUUUACUUUUUGCCAUUUGCAGCUUAGCUUUAUGUCAGAAUUUUUUACAACCAAAGUGUUGCCUUAUAUUGUUUGUCCUUUCUGCAUAUUUGUCCAGUAUGGCAAGGAUUAUGAAUAUGAAGCACCUGUGAAGCUUUUGGACAAACUUUUGCAUUCAAUGCCACAAUCUCCUGAAGAGCAACUUGUUGUGGUGUCUCAGGUGCUUGUGGCUGAUAUUAACAUCGGUUAUGAGGACAUUGUUAACACU
rnacentral:misc_RNA from 1 species